GCGGUGGCCACAGCAGCGAGUGACAGCCAGUGCAGAUGACUGGGGACACUGGGAUGGCCGGGAAGGUGGCGCUGCUCCUGUGGGCCCAGACCCUCGGCUUCGCUGGCACCCAGACCCCCUGGAUCAUCGUGGAGCCCCCCUGGAUGCCGGCGGUGCUGUGGGACCGGGUGACACUGACCUGCCAGGGCUCGGGGACCUCCAGUGCCACCACAUGGUACAAGGAUGGGCAGCGCUGGGGGCAGCAGGGACG